CCUACGGGAGGCAGCAGUGGGGAAUUUUGGACAAUGGGCGAAAGCCUGAUCCAGCCAUGCCGCGUGCAGGAUGAAGACCUUCGGGUUGUAAACUGCUUUUGUGCGGAACGAAAAGACUCUGGUUAAUACCUGGGGUCCAUGACGGUACCGUAAGAAUAAGCACCGGCUAACUACGUGCCAGCAGCCGCGGUAAU
rnacentral:rRNA from 1 species